UACAGAGGUCCCAAGCGUUGUUCGGAUUCAUUGGGCGUAAAGGGUGCGUAGGCGGCAAAUCAAGUUAGAUGCGAAAUCCCGGGGCUUAACUCCGGAACUGCAUUUAAUACUGCUUUGCUAGAGUACUAGAGAAGGGGCUGGAAUUUACGGUGUAGCAGUGAAAUGCGUAGAUAUCGUAAAGAACGUCAGUGGCGAAAGCGAGCCUCUAGAUAGUUACUGACGCUGAGGCACGAAAGCCAGGGGAGCAAACGGG
rnacentral:rRNA from 1 species